rnacentral:rRNA from 1 species
CGGAAGGUCCGGGCGUUAUCCGGAUUUAUUGGGUUUAAGGGAGCGCAGGCGGACCUUUAAGUCAGCUGUGAAAUACGGCGGCUCAACCGUCGAACUGCAGUUGAUACUGGAGGUCUUGAGUGCACACAGGGAUGCUGGAAUUCAUGGUGUAGCGGUGAAAUGCUCAGAUAUCAUGAAGAACUCCGAUCGCGAAGGCAGGCAUCCGGGGUGCAACUGACGCUGAGGCUCGAAAGUGCGGGUAUCAAACAGGAUU